AUUGAACGCUGGCGGCAUGCCUAACACAUGCAAGUCGAACGAGUGGCGGACGGGUGAGUAAUGUCUGGGAAACUGCCUGAUGGCGGGGGAUAACUACUGGAAACGGUAGCUAAUACCGCAUACCAUCAGAUGUGCCCAGAUGGGAUUAGCUAGUUGGUGGGGUAACGGCUCACCAAGGCGACGAUCCCUAGCUGGUCUGAGAGGAUGACCAGCCACACUGGAACUGAGACACGGCCCAGACUCCUACGGGAGGCAGCAGUGGGGAAUAUUGGACAAUGGGGGCAAGCCUGAUGCAGCCAUGCCGCGUGUAUGAAGAAGGCCUUCGGGUUGUAAAGUACUUUCGGCGGGGAGGCGUUACCCGCAGAAGAAGCACCGGCUAACUACGUGCCAGCAGCCGCGGUAAUUC
rnacentral:rRNA from 1 species